rnacentral:tRNA from 1 species
GCCUGACUGGCUCAGUUGGAAGAGCACGCAACUCUUGAUCUCGGGGUCGUGAGUUCAAGCCCCAUGUUGGGUG